UACGAAGGGGGCUAGCGUUGCUCGGAAUCACUGGGCGUAAAGGGUGCGUAGGCGGGUUUUUAAGUCAGGGGUGAAAUCCUGGAGCUCAACUCCAGAACUGCCUUUGAUACUGAAAAUCUUGAGUUCGGGAGAGGUGAGUGGAACUGCGAGUGUAGAGGUGAAAUUCGUAGAUAUUCGCAAGAACACCAGUGGCGAAGGCGGCUCACUGGCCCGGUACUGACGCUGAGGCACGAAAGCGUGGGGAGCAAACAGG
rnacentral:rRNA from 1 species